UCCGGUAUAGUGUAGGGGUUAACAUAUCUCGCUUUCAUCUCAUGAGAGCCCCGAGAAGCCCCGGGUUCGAUUCCCGGUACCGGAA